rnacentral:rRNA from 1 species
AGUGAACGCUGGCGGUAGGCCUAACACAUGCAAGUCGAACGGCAGCACAGGAGAGCUUGCUCUCUGGGUGGCGAGUGGCGGACGGGUGAGGAAUACAUCGGAAUCUACUUUUUCGUGGGGGAUAACGUAGGGAAACUUACGCUAAUACCGCAUACGACCUACGGGUGAAAGCAGGGGACCUUCGGGCCUUGCGCGAUUGAAUGAGCCGAUGUCGGUUUAGCUAGUUGGCGGGGUAAAGGCCCACCAAGGCGACGAUCCGUAGCUGGUCUGAGGGGAGUGACAGCCACACUGGAAAUGAGACGCGGUCCAGCCUCCUACGGGAGGCAGCAGUGGGGAAUAUUGGACAAUGGGCGCAAGCCUGAUCCAGCCAUACCGCGUGGGUGAAGAAGGCCUUCGGGUUGUAAAGCCCUUUUGUUGGGAAAGAAAUCCAGCUGGCUAAUACCCGGUUGGGAUGACGGUACCCAAAGAAUAAGCACCGGCUAACUUCGUGCCAGCCGCCGCGGUAA